rnacentral:rRNA from 1 species
UACGUAGGGGGCAAGCGUUGUCCGGAAUCAUUGGGCGUAAAGCGCGUGUAGGCGGCCCCGAUAAGUCCGCCGUGAAAGUCCAGGGCUCAACCCUGGGAUGCCGGUGGAAACUGUCGGGCUAGAGUCCGGAAGAGGCGAGUGGAAUCCUGGUGUAGCGGUGAAAUGCGCAGAUAUCAGGAGGAACACCAAUUGCGAGGCAGCUCGCUGGGACGUAACUGACGCUGAGACGCGAAAGCGUGGGAGCAAACAGG